UGGGUAUAUUCGAUGCCUCAACCAUUCUUACGAUUCGACAGACAGGUUAAUUUGAUCUGGUUUCUGGGCGUUACUAAACGCCUAUCAAGUUAAUAAACUUCCCCAUCUUUUUCUAAUCUAAUCUAAUAAAUAAAUCUUGAUUGCCACUCCCAAUCAGGCGAUGGAAGUGGAUAUAUUUCAUCUUUCCCUCUCUGGCAGAUGUGUCACUAUAUAUAGUGGCCGUGGGUAUUCUAAGCAGAAGCAUCUAAAACAACAGUAGCCCUUUCUCAAUAUUUGAUCUAAAGCGAUGGAUGUUUUCACAACUACUAUCCUUCCAAGUUUUCAAAUAAUGCCCUAUGCCACCCCUGCGGCUAUUGGUGUUUUGUCCUUCUCCAUGUUCUUUAUGAAAAAAUUAAUCUCUGAUAAUAAGAAAAGAAAUGCCAAACUUCCUUCUGUGCCAGAGGUACCUGGGUGGCCAGUUAUAGGG
rnacentral:misc_RNA from 1 species